CUAAGCUUGACAAAGAAUCUCAGAUUUCGAAAAAUUUGCUUUAAAAAUCCAUCAAAUUAAAUUAAUUUCAAAUAAUUUAAGGCUUUUACUCCAAGAAUCAUUAUAAUGACAAUAAGAUAUUAUAAAAUUUCAAAAUACAUCAAAACAUCAAAAUUUCAUUAUCAAAAAUAAUUUAAUGAUUCAAAACCAUCAAGAUGUAAGUUGAUGAAAAAUGAUUUUUAGAAAUUCAACAAAAAUUGACACCAAUUUGUCGUAACACGUUCGAAAUAAAGAUUUAACUAAUAUGGCAUCGGGGGUGGCUCUUUGAGCAUCUUUUCAACUUACCACCUUAUAACUCCGAAAAUUCUAAAAUAUUCAAUUUUUUUUUCACCUUUUUCGGUUACUCAAUUCAAUCUUCAUGUGGUAGCUUCACACACUUGCCGGACGACCGGGUUGGUAGCUCUUUCCUACAUGUGGUGGUAGUUUUCACACUCCAUUUAUGAUGUAACUCUUUCCACAUCUUUUAAACAUAGGAGUUUCUUUUUCUCCUUUUUUUAUUUUUAAACAAUUUCAAACUCUCCCUAAAUUAGACAAUCUCACAGUUGAAAAUAAUUUUGACGAAUUUUAGUCAAUUAGAGAAUAUCCAUUCAUCAUAUCCAACACUCACAACCAAGAUGAAUUAAUCACC
rnacentral:lncRNA from 1 species